rnacentral:rRNA from 1 species
AUUGAACGCUGGCGGCAUGCCUUACACAUGCAAGUCGAACGGCAGCAUGAUCUAGCUUGCUAGAUUGAUGGCGAGUGGCGAACGUGUGAGUAAUACAUCGGAACGUGCCCUGUAGUGGGGGAUAACUAGUCGAAAGAUUAGCUAAUACCGCAUACGACCUGAGGGUGAAAGUGGGGGACCGCAAGGCCUCAUGCUAUAGGAGCGGCCGAUGUCUGAUUAGCUAGUUGGUGAGGUAAAGGCUCACCAAGGCGACGAUCAGUAGCUGGUCUGAGAGGACGAUCAGCCACACUGGAACUGAGACACGGCCCAGACUCCUACGGGAGGCAGCAGUGGGGAAUUUUGGACAAUGGGCGAAAGCCUGAUCCAGCAAUGCCGCGUGUGUGAUGAAGGCCUUCGGGUUGUAAAGCACUUUUGUCCGGGAAGAAAUGGCUCUGGUUAAUACCUGGGGUCGAUGACGGUACCGGAAGAAUAAGGACCGGCUAACUACGUG